GCCGGCGUAGUGUAACGGUAGCACGACAGUCUCCAAAACUGUUUGUCGAGGUUCAAAUCCUUGCGUCGGUGCCA
rnacentral:tRNA from 1 species